UCGCACUGUUAAUCUUCGUCACUCGCCCUUAGCCCUUCACCCUUCUUCAUCUUGUUAAUCUUCAUCUUCGUCUUCCGCUCAUCGAAUCCGCUCAUCGCACUGUCUCCUACCUCGGCGACCUUAUGGCCUCCUUCAGUUCAAAAAUCUCAAUGCAGAGAAGAGCCCUUUUCAGCGGACUUAUGCGACUCAGGCUGCAACUAAAGUUCUUGCUCGACAGUUGGUAAGGCUUACGCAGCAGAUUGCUAACCUUCAAGGUAGUCGAGCUCAGAUGAGAGGCAUAGCAACUCACA